AUGGCCAAGGAUAGAGAUUUCCGCCUCUUCAACCAGGCGCUCCUAGCGAGACAGGCUUGGCGUUUGCUAACUAAUCCCACCAGCUUGUGUGCGCGGGUUCUCAAGGCACGGUACUAUCACGACGGGCGCCUCGAAGAUACGAUAUUCUCGGGGAAUGCAUCUCCGACUUGGCAGGCGAUUCAGCACGGCCUCGAGCUCUUGAAAAAGGGCAUCAUAUGGCGCGUCGGAGGCGGGCAGGACAUUCGCAUUUGGCGAGACCGGUGGCUGCCUAUGGAGCCAUCACGCCAACCCAUAUCCCUGCAGGGUACGUGCCGCCUAAGGAGGGUGGCGGAGCUCCUGGAUGGCGAGGGGUCCUGGCGCAUUGACCUGCUCCGCCGCUACUUCCUCCCUGCGGAUGUCGACGUCAUCACCAGUAUUCGUACGUCGACCCGCGUCACCGAGGAUAUUAUUGCAUGGGCACCGGAGAGAAAUGGUAUCUUCACCGUUCGGUCCGCCUACCGCCUGGCCAUGGACGAGCGCGAGCGUCCUUCGGCUUCCGCCACGAGCAGGGCACCGGAUGGUUGUCGCGCCAUCUGGAAGAUCAUAUGGGGGUGCCCUGCUCCCCGUAAGGUACGCGUGUUCGCUUGGAGAGUCGUCACCAACUCACUUGCUACUUGGGCCAAUAAAGCCUCGCGACACCUCGAGCUUACUGACAUUUGCCCCUUGUGUGGUGUUGAACGCGAGGAUGGUUUCCAUGCGCUUUGCAGGUGUCCCCUGGCAAGAGAGCUCUGGCGAGUUAUGGCCUUGGACUGGAACAUCCCCAAGGUGGAGGCCGUCGUCAACACUGGCCCAGAGUGGAUCUUUUCACUGCUGGACCCCUUGGAUGAGACAGCGAGACUGGUGGUGCUCAUGACCAUGUGGAGAGUAUGGCAUGUUCGGAAUGAGAUCACACACGACAAGGCGCCGCCCACUGCUGAAGCCUCUCGACACUUUUUGCACGGAUACAUCAACUCACUCUUGUGCAUACAACAACAUCCUGAUGGUAACCUAGAGAAAGGGAAGAUGGUGGUCCUGCCUUCACCACCACGCACUCCAGAAAGUACGGCGCCCAAGGUGCGAGCACACUGGGUACCGCCCCAGCCGGGCUGGGUUAAGUUGAACACGGAUGGGAGCUACAUAGCGGCCACAGGUGCGGCGGGAGGAGGUAUGAUCCUGUGUGAUGACAGAGGCGAGAUCAUCUACAGUGCAUGUAGGGAGCUACGUACAUGCGACAACGCUUUAGAGGCGGAGCUAGCAGCGUGCAGAGAAGGCUUGGAGCUAGCCUUGCACCGCUUUAACCUACCUAUUCUGGUUGAGUUGGAUAGCGCAGAGGCGGUGUCGAUGAUUACAGCACGCGAGAUGGAUAGAUCAUCACAUCGUGCACUUAUAGAGGAGAUUCGUAGGUUGGCUGGAAGCGAUGCUAGGGAGAUCUCUUUUACACUUUGUAGCCGUCUGCAGAACAGGAUUAGUCAUGAGCUGGCCGCCUAUGGCCGUAGCACUCUGCGCACAGCAGUCUGGCUUACUGCCGGGAUGGACUUUGUUGUAAACCUGGCUCUCGUUGAGAAGCCUCCUUGA
rnacentral:rRNA from 1 species